GCAUUUUCAACAAAUGCAUUUAAACAAUUUUAAGGCCACAGCAAAAGCAUCACUGCCAUUCACUGUUCCGUGCGUUGAUGUCUAUCUCGUAGAUGCAUUGAGUAGUGCCUUUUUAGCUUCCCAUUGCUUUGUUACCCAAUGCUUUGUGUUUUCUAAAUACGUUGCCCAGUUCUGAAAAUGUUCAGCAUAUAAAAAGGGCUUCAGUAUCGACUGAGACUACUUUUGUUCAUCUCAGGGAACUUUCAAUACUCAAGACUGAAUUCAAUUAAAGGCAUUUAGCGUUCAAAGAAGACACACUGUACAAGACCAUUUCAUUCCCUGCAGUAUACCUUCCCAUCCACACUCCCCCUUCACAAUCCGCUGUGGUCUUCUGACAAAGCUAGCGCAAGGAGGUCAGCAAAGGCUAACAGCAGAAUGAGAAAAAGAAUUGAGAUUUAACCAAUAAAGGUGCAAAGAGAUCAUGAUAAAAUCAAAUUAUAAAUACAUACUUGAAAUAUCUGGAGUGUUUUCUUUUGAGACUAUCAUAUGUUCAGAGCUUUAAUUUUUUAUUUCUUUUUCACCAUUUAACCCUGUACCUGGCAAUGCUCAGGCAGCUGGUUGUGAAAUAUUCCUGUCCUUUAGAGAACAUGUUUGCUACUGUGCUGUUGACAUGAAUAGGCCAUGGAAACGUUUUCAUCAUUAUUACCCAGCCUGUUCCAUGCUUAAUAUUAAGUUGCCGGAAUAAAAAAAUGAAUCAGUAACAGAUUUUUCUGGGCAAAUCUGAUGAUUCAGCCCACAGGACUGAUGAAAUUACUGUGGAAGUUUUUCUAUCUGAAAGAAAGUGCUGGGCAUUCAAAUGUCUUUAUGCAUUGUAUAUCAUAUGAAAUGUAUAUCAAUUGCUAAUGGGAAUUUCUACAUAUAUGCUUACAGAAGCAAUUUAUUUAAAUAAUGCUAUGGGUAGUGUACAUACCAACUAGUUAUUAAGCUACUACACAGGAAAAGGGUGAACAAAGUAAUUUAUUUCUAAUUGAGCCAGUUAGUCAUAAUGCACACAAUGUGGUAUUUGGUUCAUAAAGGAGUUGUUUUCGUGUGGUUGUUGUUGGGAGUAUCUAUAAUUGUGGAAGGGUGUAGGAGGAGUGAUGUACAGUUAGCUGUUUCCUCUACAAGUUUGAAAGUUUCCCCAUGAGACAUUAUCAAUAUACCAAUGUUUAAAAAUUGAGUGAAAGAGGGUUAUUGUUCAUAUUUGAUGAAAGGAAAUCCAAAUAAAGCCCA
rnacentral:lncRNA from 1 species